rnacentral:rRNA from 1 species
CCUACGGGAGGCAGCAGUGAGGAAUAUUGGUCAAUGGACGAGAGUCUGAACCAGCGAAGUAGCGUGAAGGAUGACUGCCCUAUGGGUUGUAAACUUCUUUUAUAAAGGAAUAAAACGAGGCACGUGUGCCUUUUUGCAUGUACUUUAUGAAUAAGGAUCGGCUAACUCCGUGCCAGCAGCCGCGGUAAUACGGAGGAUCCGAGCGUUAUCCGGAUUUAUUGGGUUUAAAGGGAGCGUAGAUGGGUUGUUAAGUCAGUUGUGAAAGUUUGCGGCUCAACGGUAAAAUUGCAAUUGAUACUGGCAGUCUUGAGUACAGUUGAGGUAGGCGGAAUUCGUGGUGUAGCGGUGAAAUGCUUAGAUAUCACGAAGAACACCGAUUGCGAAGGCAGCUUACUAAACUGUGACUGACAUUGAUGCGCGAAAGUGUGGGUAGCAAACAGGAUUAGAUACCCUUGUAGUC